rnacentral:rRNA from 1 species
AGCAGCCGCGGUAAUUCCAGCUCCAAUAGCGUAUAUUAAAGUUGUUGCAGUUAAAAAGCUCGUAGUUGAAUUUCGGGAUUUAUCCGUCGGUCGGGCUUUUGGGUCUGUACUGGCGUGAUGGAUUCCUACCUUCUGAAUAACCGGCAUGUCAUUAAUUUGGCGCGCUGGGGAAGCAGGACUGUUACCUUGAAAAAUUAGAGUGCUUAAAGCAGGCUAUUGCCUGAAUACAUUAGCAUGGAAUAAUGAAAUAGGACGGCAUGGUUCUAUUUUGUUGGUUUCUAGGAUCACCGUAAUGAUUAAUAGGGAUAGUUGGGGGCAUUAGUAUUCAAUUGUCAGAGGUGAAAUUCUUGGAUUUAUUGAAGACUAACUUCUGCGAAAGCAUUUGCCAAGGAUGUUUUCAUUAAUCAAGAACGAAAGUUAGGGGAUCGAAGACGAUCAGAUACCGUCGUA